rnacentral:rRNA from 1 species
AUUGAACGCUGGCGGCAUGCCUAACACAUGCAAGUCGAACGGCAGCACAGAUAUAGUUUACUAUAGUUGGGUGGCGAGUGGCGGACGGGUGAGUAACGCGUGGGAAUCUGCCUUCUAGUGGGGGAUAGCCCGGAGAAAUCCGGAUUAAUACCGCAUACGCCCUACGGGGGAAAGCCGGGGAUCUUCGGACCUGGCGCUAGUAGAUGAGCCCGCGUGAGAUUAGCUUGUUGGUGGGGUAAUGGCCUACCAAGGCAACGAUCUCUAGCUGGUCUGAGAGGACGAUCAGCCACACUGGGACUGAGACACGGCCCAGACUCCUACGGGAGGCAGCAGUGGGGAAUAUUGGACAAUGGGCGAAAGCCUGAUCCAGCAAUGCCGCGUGUGUGAAGAAGGCCUGAGGGUUGUAAAGCACUUUCAAUCGUGAAGAAAAGUUGCAGGCUAAUACCCUGUGACCUUGACGUUAACGAUACAAGAAGCACCGGCUAACUCCGUG